UGGGGAAUAUUGCACAAUGGGCGCAAGCCUGAUGCAGCCAUGCCGCGUGUAUGAAGAAGGCCUUCGGGUUGUAAAGUACUUUCAGUCGGGAGGAAGGUGGUAAGGUUAAUAACCUUAUCAAUUGACGUUACCGACAGAAGAAGCACCGGCUAACUCCGUGCCAGCAGCCGCGGUAAUACGGAGGGUGCAAGCGUUAAUCGGAAUUACUGGGCGUAAAGCGCACGCAGGCGGUCUGUCAAGUCGGAUGUGAAAUCCCCGGGCUCAACCUGGGAACUGCAUUCGAAACUGGCAGGCUGGAGUCUUGUAGAGGGGGGUAGAAUUCCAGGGGUAGCGGUGAAAUGCGUAGAGAUCUGGAGGAAUACCGGUGGCGAAGGCGGCCCCCUGGACAAAGACUGACGCUCAGGUGCGAAAGCGUGGGGAGCAAACAGG
rnacentral:rRNA from 1 species